rnacentral:rRNA from 1 species
GAUGAACGCUGGCGGCGUGCCUAAUACAUGCAAGUCGAGCGAACGGACGAGAAGCUUGCUUCUCUGAUGUUAGCGGCGGACGGGUGAGUAACACGUGGAUAACCUACCUAUAAGACUUGGAUAACUUCGGGAAACCGGAUCUACUACCGGCUAAUAUUUUGAACCGCAUGGUUCAAAAGUGAAAGACGGUCUUGCUGUCACUUAUAGAUGGAUCCGCGCUGCAUUAGCUAGUUGGUAAGGUAACGGCUUACCAAGGCAACGAUGCAUAGCCGACCUGAGAGGGUGAUCAGCCACACUGGAACUGAGACACGGUCCAGACUCCUACGGGAGGCAGCAGUAGGGAAUAUUCCGCAAUGGGCGAAAGCCUGAAGGAGCAACGCCGCGUGAGUGAAGAAGGUCUUCGGAUCGUAAAACUCUGUUAUUAGGGAAGAAAAUAUGUGGAAGUAAAUGUGCACAUCUUGACGGUACCUAAUCAGAAAGCAACGGCUAACUACGUG